rnacentral:rRNA from 1 species
GACGUAGGGCGCGAGCGUUGUCCGGAUUUAUUGGGCGUAAAGAGCUCGUAGGCGGCUUGUCGCGUCGACCGUGAAAACUCGCAGCUCAACUGCGAGCCUGCGGUCGAUACGGGCAGGCUAGAGUUCGGUAGGGGAGACUGGAAUUCCUGGUGUAGCGGUGAAAUGCGCAGAUAUCAGGAGGAACACCGAUGGCGAAGGCAGCACUCUGGGCCGGUACUGACGCUGAGGAGCGAAAGCGUGGGGAGCGAACAGG